GAGACUGCGUCUGCCCCACGAGCACAGAGCCUCGCCUUUGCCCCUCUGCCGCCCAUCCACACACGCUGCCAGCUCAUCAUGGAUGAUGAUAUCACUGCGCUCUUCGUUGACAAUGGCUCCGCCAUGUGCAAGGCCGGCUUUGCGGGCGACGAUGCCCCUGGGCCAUCUUCCCCUCCAUUGUGGGGUGCCCCAGGCACCAGGGCGUGAUGGUGGGCAUGGGUCAGAAGGAUUCCUAUGUGGGCGACGAGGCCCAGAGCAAGAGAGGCAUCCUCACCCUGAAGUACCCUAUUGAGCAUGGCAUCGUCACCAACUGGGACGACAUGGAGAAGAUCUGGCACCACACCUUCUACAAUGAGCUGCGUGUGGCUCCCAAGGAGCAACCCCUGCUGCUGUCUGAGGCCCCCCUGAACCCCAAGGCCAACCGUGAGAAGAUGACCCAGAUCACGUUUGAGACCUUCAACACCCCAGCCAUGUACGUGGCCAUCCAGGCUGUGCUGUCCCUGUAGGCCUGUGGCUGUACCACUGGCAUCGUGAUGAACUCCAGUGAUGGGGUCACCCACACUGUGCCCAUCUAUGAGGGGUAUGCCCUCCCCCAUGCCAUCCUGCGUCUGGACCUGGCUGGCUGGGACCUGGCUGACUACCUCAUGAAGAUCCUCACUGAGUGCCUCUACAGCUUCACCACCAUGGCCUAGCAGGAAAUCAUGCGUGACAUCAAGGAGAAGCUGUGCUACGUCGCCCUGGACUUUGAGCAGGAGAUGGCUAGGGCGGCUUCCAGCUCCUCCCUGGAGAAGAGCUAGGAGCUGUCUGACGGCCAGGUCAUCACCAUUGGCAACGAGCUGUUCCGCUGCCCCAGGCGCUCUUCCAGCCUUUCAUCCUGGGCAUGGAGUCCUGUGGCAUCCACGAAACUACCUUCAACUGCAUCAUGAAGUGUGACGUGGACAUCCGCAAAGACCUGUAAGCCAAUACAGUGCUGUCUGGCGGCACCACCAUGUACCCUGGCAUUGCCGACAGGAUGCAGAAGGAGAUUACCGCCCUGGCGCUCAGCACGAUGAAGAUCAAGAUCAUUGCGCCUCCUGAGCGCAAGUACUCUGUGUGGAUCAGAGGCUCCAUCCUGGCCUCGCUGUCCACCUUCCAGCAGAUGUGGAUCAGCAAGCAGGAGUAUGAUGAGUCCGGCCCCUCCAUCGUUCACCACAAAUGCUUCUAGGCGGACUGU